CCAGGGACAGUGAGGGGUAUGUUAGGAGUGGCGGUCAGAGUCGCCACAAAACACCCACCUUUAUUCUUCUUCAGGAAAGACCACCUGCCGUGGGCUGGGAGGUAGUAUAAUAUCGGGGUAACGCCAAAGAAUACAGUCAAAACCCCUGCUCCCAGACAAGCUAUGCUUAGUUUCGGCUCAUUCGUUCAUUGUCUCCAGCACUUAUCAGGAUUAGGAAAAUUUCCUUCAAAACAAGGAUUAAAGAAGAUGAUUGCUUGACAGCAUAAAGGAAGACAGAACUGAUGCUUUGUAUGCGGGCGGACACAGCUGGCUCUGCCCUGGGAAGCAUCCACCUUCUGGAAGACAUCUGCAAGAAUCGAGGUUCCCGUUAUUAGCCAGUAUGAUCUAGGAAUUUUGGAGACUGAAGAGAAUGACCACAUCUCUGCCACCUGAUUUUUGAUGGAUCCUAGUUUCUUCCAGGGGAUGACAGAGGAUUGCAUCUAAAGCUUUCAGUCUCCUUGUGAGAAGGCAGUUAGAUUCUGCACUGAUUUCCCAGAAAUGCCAAACUACAUUGUUCCCCUAAACAAUCCCUCUGAUAGGUUAAACCAGACCCUGGCAGUUCCUUCCUAAGCCAUAUGGUAUCAUGACAAACAUGGCUAAUUCCUGCUCAGUUUGUUCUGAAUUGUGUUCAUCUGCCAACUGGUUAGCGCCCAUUAUAAAGCGGCUUUUAUCUGGAGAUUCUCAUUAGCAUGUGAAAUUAGUCCAAGCCCAAACUUCAUUUUGCCAAAUCCUCCCUCAGGCUGCUCUUGAGAUAGAGUCUGCUCACAAUUGAGGUUUUGUUGCUUGACUGUCAGGCUAUGCCCAGAAGGUCAAUUAGCCUUUUUCUUUCUUCUUCUUCUUUUAUAAAUCAGAUACUUGGUGUUUACUUGCUGUGAUCUAAAUUCUGGUAGAGCUAUUCUGGCUUUCUGUUUGUUUUGUGUCUGUAAUAGAGAACGAUAUCUUUGCCUGUUCCCACAGAUAAUUUCUUAUUACAUCAUUUUGCUCAAUAAAGAC